rnacentral:tRNA from 1 species
GUUUAAAUAGUUUAAUUUAAAAUUUAAAGUUGUGGUCUUUGAGAUAGACUUGUCUUUUAAACA